AUGUCGUCAAUCCACCAGACCAUACUCGUGCAGGGGCUCGGACUCCUCCUUGAGGUGAUCCUCCACAUUGAACUUGUAGAGGACGAAGAAGAACAUCUGGCGCCACUUCCAGUAGUUGUUGGUUUCGAGACUGAGCUUGAAUGGGAUGUAAGAAGUAUUGCUGAUAUGAUGCAUGGAAGGAGCAGGGACAAGGGGACCUGGGUGAGGAAGCAGCGCCGGCGGGGGGUGAGGGCAUUGGAAGUAAGGUGCAACUCACGAAUGAUGCUAGCUUGGAAAAACGGAAACAAAGUGAAAAUACGGAAACCAAAACGGAAUAUUGUGAAAUGGAAAUUGAAAUGGGAAAACGUUUUCCGGUGGAGCAUCCAUGGAAACGGAUCUGUGAGUAUGAAACUUUCUGUUUUUACCAUGGCGGCCUGGGGCGGGGUGAAGACAACUGUGGCAUCCCCAAGCGAGCAGCUGCGACAAUGGGUGCGUGGGGCGCUCAUGCGGAACGUGAGAAGGAUUUGA
rnacentral:rRNA from 1 species